rnacentral:rRNA from 1 species
AUUGAACGCUGGCGGCAUGCCUUACACAUGCAAGUCGAACGGUAACAGGUUAAGCUGACGAGUGGCGAACGGGUGAGUAAUGUAUCGGAACGUGCCCAGUCGUGGGGGAUAACUGCUCGAAAGAGCAGCUAAUACCGCAUACGACCUGAGGGUGAAAGCGGGGGAUCGCAAUACCUCGCGCGAUUGGAGCGGCCGAUAUCAGAUUAGGUAGUUGGUGGGGUAAAAGCCCACCAAGCCGAAGAUCUGUAGCUGGUCUGAGAGGACGACCAGCCACACUGGGACUCAGACACGGCCCAGACUCCUACGGGAGGCAGCAGUGGGGAAUUUUGGACAAUGGGCGCAAGCCUGAUCCAGCCAUGCCGCGUGCGGGAAGAAGGCCUUCGGGUUGUAAACCGCUUUUGUCAGGGAAGAAAAGGUUCUGGUUAAUACCUGGGACUCAUGACGGUACCUGAAGAAUAAGCACCGGCUAACUACGUGCCAGCCGCCGCGGUAAGAC